GGGCCCUUAGCUCAACUGGGAGAGCGCCAGAUUUGCAUUCUGGAGGUUAACGGUUCGAUCCCGUUAGGGUCCA
rnacentral:tRNA from 1 species